rnacentral:lncRNA from 10 species
CCCCCAGCCGCUCUCACAGGUUUGUUAUGUAACCGCCGGGCCAGCCCCGCCCUCAGGGUGGGCUGAGGUGCGGCUCCCUGGAGACCCCGCCCGCUAGCCGGGAGCCAGCGGCGCAGUGCGAGUUCAGCCCGCUUUCUUCGCGCUCCGCGUCAAAUCUCUCCAGCUCUGUUCUCGCAUCCCGGGUUUAGAUCCCGCAGAGUUAAGUAUCCCGCGUGUGAAGGGAUGAACUGAGACUCCCAGAGGGCAUAACUGAUGGAGGCACGAAGAUGUCUGCUCUUCAGCUUUGCCAAGAGCUCGGCAAGUUUUUCUUUGUUUUUUGAUACAAACUGAAAGAUGCCUUUGGUUAUAUCUACCCACUGAAAACAAGAUGCCAUCUCUGGAUUACACAGGGAUUCGUGAAGGCUGACAUUUGUCUAUUUGUUAAAAAAUGUACAUGUCAUAUACACCAUGGAAUACUAUGCAGCCAUAAAAAGGAAUGAGAUCAUGUCCUUUGCAGGGACAUGGAUGAAGCUGGAAACCAUCAUCCUCAGCAAACACAGGAACAGAAAACCAAAAACUGCAUGUUCUCACUUAUAGGUGGGAGUUGAAUGAUGAGAAUACAUGGACACAGGGAGGGGAACAUCACACACCAGGGCCUGUUGCAGGGUCGGGGAGAGGGGAGGGAGAGCAUUAGGACAAAUAGCUAAUGUAUGCAGGGCUUAAAACCUUGAUGAUGGGUUGAUAGGUGUGGCAAACCCACCAUGGCACACGUAUACCUAUGUAACAAACCUGCAUGUUGUGCACUUUUAUCCUAGAACUUAAAGUAAAAUAAAAAUAAAAAGAAAAAAAUACAUGUCUAUAGUAUUAAUCUUCCUAAAGCAAUGCUUUCAUCAUGUCAGUCCCU